AACGAGGCCGACCUGCGGCUGAGUUACCUGCGGAAGGAUCAUUACAUACAGUAGAUUCUCUACUGGAGCAGUGGUGCCUACGCGGCCAUGUGUCGCAACAAGGCGCCCUGUCAAUACCCUUGAUUUUUGCAGACUGGUGUUUCCUUGGUGGGCUAGCCUGCCAAAUGGACAAUGCAUAAAACUCUUUGAAUAAUUCAGUGUCUGAACAAAUGUCAUUAAUCACAACUUUUAACAAUGGAU
rnacentral:misc_RNA from 1 species